ACGAGCUUGCUCUGAUUUGAUUUUAUCUGACAAAGAGUGGCGAACGGGUGAGUAACACGUGGGUAACCUACCUCUUAGCAGGGGAUAACAUUUGGAAACAAGUGCUAAUACCGUAUAAUACCAACAACCGCAUGGUUGUUGGUUGAAAGAUGGUUCUGCUAUCACUAAGAGAUGGACCCGCGGUGCAUUAGCUAGUUGGUAAGGUAACGGCUUACCAAGGCAAUGAUGCAUAGCCGAGUUGAGAGACUGAUCGGCCACAAUGGGACUGAGACACGGCCCAUACUCCUACGGGAGGCAGCAGUAGGGAAUCUUCCACAAUGGGCGCAAGCCUGAUGGAGCAACGCCGCGUGUGUGAUGAAGGGUUUCGGCUCGUAAAACACUGUUAUAAGAGAAGAACGGCACUGAGAGUAACUGUUCAGUGUGUGACGGUAUCUUACCAGAAAGGAACGGCUAAAUACGUGCCAGCAGCCGCGGUAAUACGUAUGUUCCAAGCGUUAUCCGGAUUUAUUGGGCGUAAAGCGAGCGCAGACGGUUAUUUAAGUCUGAAGUGAAAGCCCUCAGCUCAACUGAGGAAUGGCUUUGGAAACUGGAUGACUUGAGUGCAGUAGAGGAAAGUGGAACUCCAUGUGUAGCGGUGAAAUGCGUAGAUAUAUGGAAGAACACCAGUGGCGAAGGCGGCUUUCUGGACUGUAACUGACGUUGAGGCUCGAAAGUGUGGGUAGCAAACAGGAUUAGAUACCCUGGUAGUCCACACCGUAAACGAUGAGUGCUAGAUGUUCGAGGGUUUCCGCCCUUGAGUGUCGCAGCUAACGCAUUAAGCACUCCGCCUGGGGAGUACGACCGCAAGGUUGAAACUCAAAGGAAUUGACGGGGACCCGCACAAGCGGUGGAGCAUG
rnacentral:rRNA from 1 species